rnacentral:lncRNA from 1 species
UGGACACCCAUGUCUGUUGCUAAUCUCAAACCCAAAAUGCAUGCCUCAUAUUCCGCCAUUUGUUGGUGCAAUAUAAAUGGAGUUGAGCUGUGACUGGGUAAUGAUGCCCUUCUUCAGAAAUGAGCACCGCUCUUAUCCCGACGCCUUUCAUGUUGGUAGCCCCAUCAAAAAACAACUUCCAUCCCGACUUCUCAUCCUGCUCUGUUUCAUU